rnacentral:misc_RNA from 1 species
GAUGAAGAACGCAGCGAAAUGCGAUACGUAAUGUGAAUUGCAAAUUCAGUGAAUCAUCGAGUCUUUGAACGCACAUUGCGCCCCCUGGUAUUCCGGGGGGCAUGCCUGUCCGAGCGUCAUUGCUGCCCUCAAGCACGGCUUGUGUGUUGGGCCCCGUCCUCCGAUCCCGGGGGACGGGCCCGAAAGGCAGCGGCGGCACCGCGUCCGGUCCUCGAGCGUAUGGGGCUUUGUCACCCGCUCUGUAGGCCCGGCCGGCGCUUGCCGAUCAACCCAAAUUUUUAUCCAGGUUGACCUCGGAUCAGGUAGGGAUAUCCGCUGAACUUAAGCAUAUCAAUAAGCGGAGGA